CUACGGGUGGCUGCAGUGGGGAAUAUUGCGCAAUGGGCGAAAGCCUGACGCAGCAACGCCGCGUGAUCGAUGAAGCUUCAAGGAGUGUAAAGAUCUGUCCUAAGGGAAGAAUGGUUCCAAGUCGAAUAGGCUUGGUUCGUGACGGUACCUUAGAAGAAAGCGCCGGCUAACUUCGUGCCAGCAGCCGCGGUAAUACGAGGGGCGCAAGCGUUGUCCGGAUUCAUUGGGUGUAAAGGGUGCGUAGGUGGAUUUGUAAGUUGGAAUUUAAAUCCCGCAGCUUAACUGCGGACCUGGUUUCAAAACGGCAGAUCUUGAGUUCGAAAGAGGGGAGUGGAAUUCCUAGUGUAGCGGUGGAAUGCGUAGAUAUUAGGAGGAACACCAGUGGCGAAGGCGGCUCUCUGGUUCGAUACUGACACUAAGGCACGAAAGCGUGGGGAGCAAACAGGAUUAGAUACCCCAGUAGUC
rnacentral:rRNA from 1 species